GACAGAGGGUGCAAGCGUUGUUCGGAAUUACUGGGCGUAAAGCGCGUGUAGGCGGCAGCGUGUGUCGGGCGUGAAAUCCCACGGCUCAACCGUGGAAGUGCACCCGAAACUGCGCAGCUAGAGUCCUGGAGAGGAAGGUGGAAUACUUGGUGUAGAGGUGAAAUUCGUAGAUAUCAAGUGGAACACCGGUGGCGAAGGCGGCCUUCUGGACAGUGACUGACGCUGAGACGCGAAAGCGUGGGGAGCAAACAGG
rnacentral:rRNA from 1 species